rnacentral:lncRNA from 1 species
CCGGUUGCAAGCAGCACAUAAUGGCUUCCUCGGGGCUCCUGCAAGAUGCAGCUGCUUUUCGGGUGCGCUCUGCAGGUAAAGAAGGCUCAAAUUACCUCCCGAGGAAGAAUCAGCAGGCAGGCAGGCUCAGGAGAUGAGAACCACCCUGGGCCAGAGGCAGCCCACAGCCAUGAACUAAUCUUACCUAAGGCACAGGGGAGUGUCCUGGUCACCAAGUCAUAUUUUCCUGUCAUCUAUGCCAAGGGGCUGCUGUAAGGCAAGAAGACCCUUGCUGUGUGUUCAGAGAAAAGGUAGGAAGCUUGGUAAGGCUGAUCUUGCACGAAGAGGAAAUUCAGCUUGUCUGUUUGCAUGUUUUUCAUAGCAGUAAAAGAAAGACAAAUCUGGGAGGUUUCCCCAGUACAGAAGCCUGGGGCAUCAGCAUCUCCCUGAAUGCUGGUCCUCAUUGUCUUUUUCAUGGGGAGCACAGUUUGCACUCCCCUCCAGGCCCUCCUCUUCACCAGUGUGGGCCCCAUGGCCUCUCCAUCCCAGUUUUCCUUCCAGCCAUGUGGACGUCGUGUUCCAGCAUGGCGUUGAAAUGAAAGAAAAAUGUUCAUGCUAAGAGAGUUUCUGUGCUUUAUGUGCAAUCAAUAGUGCUGCUAAUCACUUCUGAAAUGUUCUAUUCUUUUGUGCUCAAAGCCAUCAUUAAAGCUUCAUGAGAAAUUAGUCAUUCUUUGUAACUUGCGACUGGUCCAGGUUUUGCCUUUGGGCUUGAUUUUGUGAGCAGUCUGAGCCAUCCUCACCAAAAUGGGGUGUUUCAAAGCAGCCACUUCCUCUUUGAGCCACAUUUCACUAAAAGACUCUGGACUGGCUUUGUUUCCCUACCUUACUGUAGCAACUAUUGCAUCUGUAGGCUUAAUACCAGCUUUCAUACACGAGGUAAAAACAUGGAAAGGAUGUGAUGAGCUCUCUCUGUGAUAGAGAGAAGCUGUCAUUUUCUCCGCCUGUCACAGGCAGGGCAAUGGGCAGCACGGCCUCUCCUCAUCCACCAGACUGUGAGCGUGAGGAAGGUGAACUCCACAUCGAAAACCUAGC